UGCAAAGUGCCUGAUUAAAGGUCUAUUUUGAUGUAAUAGUAAUAGUGAUUCCACUCUUUGCAA
rnacentral:tRNA from 1 species